GCCAGAUAAAACCAGUAUCUUGUGCUUCACAGUUGCCAUUCUUUCUACUAUUGCAACUAAGUCUGGAUCAGGUCCUUUAGGAGCAGUAGCACAAAUUUCUUGAUUAGGGCAUCCUUUACAAGAAUCAGAUUUUCCUGCUGUUUCAGAUUGUGGACCUGGGCAAUGUUCAGGAGCAUUCUCUGGGAUUUCACCGUUUUCCAUCUUCUUCAGCCGCAACAACAAGUUCUAAAUAAAAAUUUAAACUUUAAUAAACUGAAAAAGUGAAAAAUUAUCAAUA
rnacentral:misc_RNA from 1 species